rnacentral:rRNA from 1 species
CUACGGGAGGCUGCAGUGAGGAAUAUUGCACAAUGGGGGGAACCCUGAUGCAGCAACGCCGCGUGGAGGAUGACGCAUUUCGGUGUGUAAACUCCUUUUAUAUGUCAAGAAAAUGACGGUAGCAUAUGAAUAAGCACCGGCUAACUCCGUGCCAGCAGCCGCGGUAAUACGGAGGGUGCAAGCGUUACUCGGAAUCACUGGGCGUAAAGGACGCGUAGGCGGGUGGGAAAGUCAGGUGUGAAAUCCUACAGCUUAACUGUAGAACUGCACUUGAAACUUCUAAUCUAGAGUAUGGGAGGGGAGAUGGAAUUAGUGGUGUAGGGGUAAAAUCCGUAGAUAUCACUAGGAAUACCUAAAGCGAAGGCGAUCUCCUGGAACAUUACUGACGCUAAGGCGUGAAAGCGUGGGGAGCAAACAGGAUUAGAUACCCCCGUAGUC